AUUGAACGCUGGCGGCAUGCCUUACACAUGCAAGUCGAACGGAUUUUGGGGCUUGCUCCAAAGUUAGUGGCGAACGGGUGAGUAAUACAUCGGAACGUACCCAGUUGUGGGGGAUAACGUAGCGAAAGUUACGCUAAUACCGCAUACGCACUGAGGUGGAAAGCGGGGGACCUUCGGGCCUCGCGCAAUUGGAGCGGCCGAUGUCGGAUUAGCUAGUUGGUGAGGUAAAGGCUCACCAAGGCGACGAUCCGUAGCUGGUCUGAGAGGACGACCAGCCACACUGGAACUGAGACACGGUCCAGACUCCUACGGGAGGCAGCAGUGGGGAAUUUUGGACAAUGGGCGAAAGCCUGAUCCAGCCAUGCCGCGUGAGUGAAGAAGGCCU
rnacentral:rRNA from 1 species